AGCGCAUUAUCCAAGAUGGCGGCCGUGGUAUGCGAAGUUCGUGUUGCCGGGGUUUUCGUGCCGGAAAAACUAUCAAAGCCUACAGGAGAUGGUGUGGUAGUAUCCCUGCUAGAGUGACUAGCGCUGUGUAUGGUACUUUACCUGGACAGUAGCGCUUUCCAGGAGGUCAUGUGGUAGUAGUAUAGUAGAUCUCUUAUAGAGUGACUAUCGCUGUGUAUGGUACUUUACCUGGACACUGGUUUUCCAGGAGGGCUUGUGGAAGUAGUAGAUCUGUGAUAGAAAGACUAGCGCUGUG